UUGGAAGCCCUGGAGAUGCAGCUCUUUAAGUUUCCCCACAGGGGCCCAUCAAUGUGGCUCAUGCCUGUCCUGGAGGGAUCAUUUCUAGGAGGUGAAAGCGUAGCUGAGUUUCCAUGCCAAUGCCUUCCUUGGGGGGG
ensembl:misc_RNA